GACGAACGCNGGCGGCGUGCUUAACACAUGCAAGUCGAACGAAGAGCGACGAAAGCUUGCUUCUAUCAAUCUUAGUGGCGAACGGGUGAGUAACGCGUAAUCAACCUGCCCUUCAGAGGGGGACAACAGUUGGAAACGACUGCUAAUACCGCAUACGAUCUAAUCUCGGCAUCGAGGAUAGAUGAAAGGUGGCCUCUACAUGUAAGCUAUCACUGAAGGAGGGGAUUGCGUCUGAUUAGCUAGUUGGAGGGGUAACGGCCCACCAAGGCGAUGAUCAGUAGCCGGUCUGAGAGGAUGAACGGCCACAUUGGGACUGAGACACGGCCCAGACUCCUACUGGAGGCAGCAGUGGGGAAUCUUCCGCAAUGGACGAAAGUCUGACGGAGCAACGCCGCGUGAGUGAUGACGGCCUUCGGGUUGUAAAGCUCUGUUAAUCGGGACGAAAGGCCUUCUUGCGAAUAGNGAGAAGGAUGA
rnacentral:rRNA from 1 species